AAAGGAAUUGACGGGGGCCCGCACAAGCGGAGGAGCAUGUGGCUUAAUUCGAUGCUACGCGAAGAACCUUACCAGGGUUUGACAUGCAACUGCUAACCCAGUGAAAAUUGGGCUCCUUCGAGGGUGUUGCACAGGUGCUGCAUGGCUGUCGUCAGUUCGUGCCGUGAGGUGUUGGGUUAAGUCCUGCAACGAACGCAACCCUUGUGUUUAGUUGCCACCGUGGGUGAUGAGCCCACGAGCACUCUAAACAGACUGCCCGUGUUAAGCGGAAGGAAGGUGGGGAUGACGUCAAGUCCGUAUGGCCUUUAUACCCUGGGCUGCACACGUGCUACAAUGGCCGGUACAGAGGGAAGCUAAGCCGCGAGGUGGAGCCAAUCCCAUAAAACCGGUCCCAGUUCGGAUUGGAGUCUGCAAUUCGACUCCAUGAAGUUGGAUUCGCUAGUAAUGGCGCAUCAGCUACGGCGCCGUGAAUACGUUCCCGGGCCUUGUACACACCGCCCGU
rnacentral:rRNA from 1 species